rnacentral:lncRNA from 1 species
GUUUAUGAAUGUGUGUGUGUGUGUGUGUGUGUGUGUGUGUGUGUGUGUGUGUAUGGAUGUCCAUAAAUCUACUCUUGCCUCAAAGUAUAAAUGGAUUUUUUACAAAUUAGAAAGAAAAUACCUCAGUAUGGAAAUAUGCACUGAACAUUAUCAACCUAAUAGCUAGGAAAAUUAACAGCUGACUGCAUGCCAGCUUUGGCACAAUGGAAGUGGCCAGCAGAAAGGAGGCUUCCAAAUCAGUUCCAGGCUGAGUUUUGUAUUUUGUAACCAAGAGAUCAACCCUGGUAUAAAAAGGGAACAAUUAUAUAAAUGUGUGGAUACUAGAACAUAAGACUCUUUAGAAGCCUUAGAGGAUGCCACGCCUAAAUGGAAUAUUUCCUACAUGUUGUGAGCUGUGAGUAGAAGAUUGAGCCCAAGGCUGGAGACCUAGCCAGGUUCCCUGCUUGUUCAUACCGGAAGGAUCCAAAUUUCUGCAUUCUCCCGGAGAGCCACAGCAGGUGGGUUGUUUCUUCUCACUGUGAUAAAUGCUCGAGAAAACAGCCUAAAGCAGGGGACUUCGCUGACUUUUUCAGAGGGCUGAGUUUGUAACAGCGCGUGUGCUGAAGUAAUGCUGUUCCCUUCCGGGCUGCCGUGGUUUGAGUGAGAAAUGUCCUGCCCAGGGUCACAUUCAUACACUUGGCCCGCAGCUGGUGGUGCCGAAUUGGAAGGCUGUGAAAUCUUUGAGGAGAUGGAGCCUCAUUAGAGGAACUAUGUCCCUGCUGCCUGACACAGAGAAGUUCGUAAUGAUGGUGGAAAAUUGCCAAGCUCAGCACACUUCUUCAAACAAAUAAUGAAAUUCCAGUAAAGACUGCUCGAGUUUGCCGGAACAAUAAUGAAGACAAUAAUAUUUUGUAUACCU